CAUGGGUCAAAGCAAGCACGGAUCACAGAAUUAAGGAGGUUCUAGCUGGAAGGUGACUUAGUAUAAUGGGGCAGAAUGUAAUUUUUCUGGGAAGCAGAUGAGUAUCUAUGCCCUGUAAGGACAGUAUCUCCUAGCUGGGGUCCUGAGUUCUCCAUUGCAAGAUUCCAUGCAAGAGCUGCCUCCAGUCCCUACCCAGUCCUGUCCCAUGGACAACAGUGGAAUGAGCAAUGGCAGUGUCACUGAAGGAUGGAGCCAGUGAGUCACAGAUUAUGUUCAUUUUCCUAA
rnacentral:lncRNA from 1 species